rnacentral:pre_miRNA from 1 species
UGUAAACAUCCUACACUCAGCUCGAAUGUAUAACCUGACUGGGUGGGGGGUGUUUGCCUC